GUGGGAACGUACCCUUUGGUUCAGAACAACUCUGGGAAACUGGAGCUAAUACCGGAUACGCCCUUUUGGGGAAAGGCUUGCUGCCGAAGGAUCGGCCCGCGUCUGAUUAGCUAGUUGGUGGGGUAAUGGCCUACCAAGGCGACGAUCAGUAGCUGGUCUGAGAGGAUGAUCAGCCACACUGGGACUGAGACACGGCCCAGACUCCUACGGGAGGCAGCAGUGGGGAAUAUUGGACAAUGGGCGCAAGCCUGAUCCAGCCAUGCCGCGUGAGUGAUGAAGGCCUUAGGGUUGUAAAGCUCUUUUGUCCGGGACGAUAAUGACGGUACCGGAAGAAUAAGCCCCGGCUAACUUCGUGCCAGCAGCCGCGGUAAUACGAAGGGGGCUAGCGUUGCUCGGAAUCACUGGGCGUAAAGGGCGCGUAGGCGGCCAUUCAAGUCGGGGGUGAAAGCCUGUGGCUCAACCACAGAAUUGCCUUCGAUACUGUUUGGCUUGAGACCGGAAGAGGUAAGUGGAACUGCGAGUGUAGAGGUGAAAUUCGUAGAUAUUCGCAAGAACACCAGUGGC
rnacentral:rRNA from 1 species